rnacentral:rRNA from 1 species
AUCUUCGGCAAUGGGCGAAAGCCUGACCGAGCAACGCCGCGUGAGUGAAGAAGGUCUUCGGAUCGUAAAACUCUGUUGCCAAGGAAGAACGUCCGGGAGAGGCAAUGCUCCCGGGGUGACGGUACUUGAGAAGAAAGCCCCGGCUAACUACGUGCCAGCAGCCGCGGUAAUACGUAGGGGGCAAGCGUUGUCCGGAAUUAUUGGGCGUAAAGCGCGCGCAGGCGGUCUUUUAAGUCUGGGGUUUAAACGGAGGGCUCAACCCUUCGUCGCCUCGGAAACUGGGGGACUGGAGUGCAGGAGAGGGAAGCGGAAUUCCACGUGUAGCGGUGAAAUGCGUAGAGAUGUGGAGGAACACCAGUGGCGAAGGCGGCUUCCUGGCCUGUAACUGACGCUGAGGCGCGAAAGCGUGGGGAGCAAACAGG